UCCGUUGGGGAUAUCCUUCAGUCCGCAAAUAGGAUAAAUGCUGGAGAUAAAUUUCAAAGAAACUGCCUCACUCGGGGAGGAAAUCGGCAAAUACAGGCCUGCUGGGGAUAGGCAAUCCUUAGGUCCGUUGGGGAAUAGAAGGCACUAUCCACAGACGUCUCCGCAGGGGAACAUAGCUCUGAUAGCUUCCAAACUUGCUUGGGGAAAAUAUCUGCUGAGGAAACGUCC
rnacentral:lncRNA from 1 species